AGCCUGGAUGCACCUCUCUUAGACCUCAUUUAAGGGCUGACUGCAAGUGGGGAAAGAUUUUUUCCUGGAGGUCUUGCUUUGGUGAAGCUCUGUCCUACAAACUUAGAAUCUUCUCAUAGGGUUCCUCAGACUUCCCAGAGUGACAGAAGACAGGAUGAGAGGGUGCUGCUUCUUCACCAUUCACCAUCCCUGCUCCAUGUGUAGUUCUGAGAAGAAAGAAGACACAUAGCCAUUCUGUUUAUCUGAUUAUAGCAAGAAAUGCGUUUGUUAAUUACUGUUUUCAAUGUAUUUCUGUCAAUAAGAGCUGUUUCGUUCCUUAAAUAAUACCUUUUCAUGAAAACAUGAAUAAGAAAGCCUGGACUUGAAAUGCUCAAAAUGAGGAAUACAUUUUGCUUUUAGUUCUCAUCUGAGUGUCUCACUGGGCUUCAAUUUGUAAUAUGCAGAAUAAAUGAAGUUCUAAACCAUUAUAUAAGUAGAUACUUAACACCUUAAGAUUUGGACUGGAAUCUGAUGACAGCUUUUGUGUAUAUGUAUGGUUGUUACCAGACUUAUUAUUCAACAAGAAUUUCAUGAGAGAAAUAUUUUUCUUUCUGGCUGCCUAAAUUAAAAAAAAAAACUUAUCAUAUUAGCCAGGAAGACAUUCAGAACACAUCUGUUUAGCACAAAUGUUAUUUUUUUCCCCCAUAAAAACAUGUUGCCAAGUGUGUCUGACAAUGAUGUACUUGGGGAAGUAUUUGUCUUUCUGUAUUGCUGUAUUUCAUUUACCACAAUUGGAAGCUCCUACAGGCUACCAAAAUAUGCCAUCAAAAUGAUCUUACUUCAGCAAUGGUGGUCUUGUUACUUAGCAAAUGAAGUCAUUAUGGUGCAGCCUACCCUGUUAUUAUGAAAUAAUAAGAGUCUAAAGGAACAUUUUCUGAAAAUAUUGUAAAGAUAAAAUCAAUAAUUUAUUUUUUAGAGUAUUUGUGGGUAUGAUUCCCAAAAGCUACUAAAACAUAGUCAUAGUUAAUUAUCAGAAAUUGACUCAUAUGAGGUUAAUUUGGAACUGAAUAUGGGAAACUCAGUUUCUGUGUUUAUAUUGCUGCUAUGAUUGGUAGUGUUUAUAACAGUUGCAAGAUAUAUUUCCAAAAGUUUGAGAAUGAUGAUGAAGUAAGUUUUAAAUCCUUUCCAGUGGUAUUUUGGAACCUUAACUACUUUAGCGUUCUCUUCUUCUCACACUUGAAGUAUGAAUCAAUUCUGUGUUUGUAAUAUUUGGUAUUCAUUCUAGUGGACUCCCAUCCAUUAGAAAGCAACCAAAUGCCCCUCAGCUUUUUAAAAAAUGCUUCUAACUGUUGUAGUUCUUGUAACUGGAACUACUAGUCUUAGUAUUCUGUGUUUCUACACUGAUCUUAUGUCUCUCACUUCCUACUUGCCAUGGCUUUCAAGCUUUGUGACAUGUCUGUCUGCAAUAGCACAGAUAGAUAUCAUUCCUAAUGCAAAUGUAUGGAGUUUGUUUCCACUACAGUUCGUAUGUACCUUUCUUUUCAGUAUUUAUAACAGACUGUUCUGGGGAAGGAACCUUUCAUUUUUCUAAAGAGUAAGCAAAGAACAUCUCUCUGGUAGAAUCAUUACCGAUUUCUGACACUUUUAUUUUCUUAUUAGUGCAUCUCACUCCAGUGAGAUGUCUCCUCUCCAGAGGAGGACAUUUUAUGGUAUUCUACGCAUCUUAGCUGGCAUAAAAACAGUACAGCAGGGCUAGGGCUAGAGCUAGAUCUGCUGUUUAAAAUGCUGUUAAAUACUGUGCUUCACAGUAGGACGGUGCAUAAAUGAACUAUUAGUUGCAUGUAAUUUUCUUGGCUUUGUCUUCAAAUUUUAUAGCUGCAAAAGCAUUCAUGAUAUCCAUUCUGAAGUAGAUGUUAGUCUCUCAUCUGUUUGUGUUAGGAAAGCUGCUUGCGGAUGUAUUUUUUAGCUGUGAUAAGGGUUAAUUCGGGCAGAAACACUGAAAAAAAUGGCUUCUCAGGAGCACUUUUAAGUUAGCUUUCCAUCUUAAUUGAAGUGAUUAGCAAAUGAACUUCCUGUUCUUUGUGUACAAGCAAUAGUUGCACAAGGCUAGGUUUAAAAAAAAAAGUCCACGGAAAUACCAAUUAUUGCCCAACAUCAUUGAGUAAAUUAAAGCACUGGAAAUGGUUAAUAUGAUCUCUUUUUACCAUUUCAGAGCUUUUUAGAAAGUGUAUUUAAUAGUUAAUUUUCUUUCAAUGUUUGACUUUAGGACCUUUCAAACUAAUUUAUUUCAGCUUUCCCUGUAGUGAUCAAAUGAACUUGGCACGAACAGGGAAAAUAUUUCCAUCAGUCCUAAUUUGCACUUUUCAUCCUGCUCCAGUUGUGAGCUGUGUGCCUUUCUGUUUGAUCUACUAUGAUGUCUGUUGGAAAGGCCAAGAGAUGUGUGAAUAGAUAGUGCUGUGAGAUCACUUCAUCUCUCUCACCACGGGGAAUGGCAGAUGUGGCCAUAUCUGAGAAUUGUAAAGCCUGUUCUAAAGAAAGAAUUCAGUCUUGACCUCUUAUAAAUCAUCACAUAUGGUCCAUUUAGCAAGGCUUUUCAAAUUCUGUGGAAAAAUAAAAGAUUUGUAAGAAUAAUGAAACAAAAGCCGUAGCCUGUAAUUUACAGAGGAUGAUAUCUUCAUGGCCAUGCUCUCUUCUUUUUAUUAUGCCCUGCUUUGACUCGCACAUGUUUUCACCAAUAUACCAUUUUUAAUUAAGUUAAAAGAUUUUUUCCUUCUGUGUUGUCAAAAGUAGUCUACCGCUUUUUUUUCUCCCACCAGUAUUAUUGCCCUAUUGUAGACACUUCAGAGGCCAUACCAUUAAAUUUAUUUUCAAGGUUUUUUUCUAAUUAGCUCUUAUUGCAAGUUAACAAAUCCUGACUAUACCAUGAAGCUGAUUGCACAAGAAAAUUAAAAAGGACUUCUUUUGUUGUUCAGGUGGGCAGAAUUUUUUUUGUCAGGACACAAAACAUGGUAGGAUAACAUUUCAGCUGAAGAAGUUACAAGCUCUAGGUAGAACAGUUAAAUAGAAU
rnacentral:lncRNA from 1 species